ACGCUCGACACCUACGGGAGGCAGCAGUGGGGAAUAUUGCACAAUGGGGGAAACCCUGAUGCAGCGACGCCGCGUGAAGGAAGAAGUAUUUCGGUAUGUAAACUUCUAUCAGCAGGGAAGAAAAUGACGGUACCUGAGUAAGAAGCACCGGCUAAAUACGUGCCAGUAGCCGCGGUAAUCUGAGGCGGGCUGGCAAGGC
rnacentral:rRNA from 1 species